AUUGAACGCUGGCGGCAGGCCUAACACAUGCAAGUCGAACGAGUGGCGGACGGGUGAGUCAUGUCUGGGAAACUGCCUGAUGGAGGGGGAUAACUACUGGAAACGGUAGCUAAUACCGCAUACCAUCGGAUGUGCCCAGAUGGGAUUAGCUAGUAGGUGGGGUAAAGGCGCACCUAGGCGACGAUCCCUAGCUGGUCUGAGAGGAUGACCGGCCACACUGGAACUGAUACACGGUCCAGACUCCGACGGGAGGCGUCAGUGGGGAAUAUUGCACAAGGGGCGCAAGCCUGAUGCAGCCAUGCCGCGUGUAUGAAGAAGGCCUUCGGUAUUUAAAGUACUUUCAGCGGGGAGGCGUUACCCGCAGAAGAAGCACCGGCUAACUCCGUGCCAGCAGCCGCGGUAAUAC
rnacentral:rRNA from 1 species